UUUUUUUUUUUUUUUUUUAAUUCCCUUUCCUUUUGUUAUUUGAUUUGUAUAGUUAUUAAAGAGUGCCUCAAAUACCUAAAGGCAAAUGACCUUCCUGAGGUGGGUCUCUUAUUAUUAGGGUGUGUACUUUUAAGCAAGGUGCAAGGCGCACCUCUGUGAGAUUUAAGUGUGCAGUUGUGCUUUUUUCUAUUUUUCUUGAAAUGUUAUUUAAUCUUAAAUUCUGAACUAUUAAAUUGAUUUUGUAUUGGAGCAAAAUCAUUGGGGUUACAAAUAAUCACAAAACUAUGUUAUAAGAGAAAUGACAACAAUAGAACGAAGUCUGCUGAGGCAAUUUUCUCCUAAAAUUAAGAUUACCAUUUUACUUACUUCCUUAUAAAGAUCUCCGAAAUAAUCACAAGGUAUGUAAGAGGAGAUAUUGUAGUAAAAAACUAAGUCAACUAAUGCAAUUGUCUAUCUUUAGAAGUGAGAUUUCUGAUUACCAUUUACUUGUUUUCUCAUUAUCUCUAAUCUUUGACUAAGUUUCUCAUUUGUUCAGUUUGGAGCUAGCUGGUGGCAGUUGAAACCUUAACUACUUGACCAAAAGCAUUUGGUAAACAAAAAACAAAAGUCGGCAGUUGAAUCCUAAAAGCUGUCUUUCGAUUUUUAAAACAAAAAGUUGCUAAAGCUGUAUAAGCUAGGAUAAUGUUAUAAUUUAUGAGAUUAUAUAAAUGAAUUUUAUUUUUCAUUUUAAAAAUUGUUUCUGCAUCCUAUUUCAUAAUAGGAAUUUCAUAGUAGACUUCUUUUGUUAAAUGAAUUUCUCCCAGCAAACUUGUUUUGAACUUGGGAAUGAAGAAGUUUUCAGCCAUUGAAAUAAAUUUUUGAAUUUGGUAAGUGUUUCAUGUUUUAUUCUCACAGGAUACAGCUGCACUUAACAAGAAAAUUCAUCAACAAAAAUAACGUAAUAUUUGAAUCAAGGAGAAGUCCCCACAUCGGUGUGAAUACAUGUGAAGGAGACCAUGCGUGCACAGAUAAGGGAAGUUUAUGAUACUUUCCAAGUCGACAAUUAAGCCAAAAUUCUAGGUUUAUUAAUCGAUAGUGAAAUUUGUUGUAACAGGAAAUUUUCACCCUAUGCUUGUCAUUAACUUUCCUGAUUAAUUUUUUUAGAAGUCUAGUGUCUAUUUACCCAUGAAUUUGCAAUCAAACUGACAUCUUGGCUUCAGUUAUAUCUCUGGAUGCUAAGGAAUUAAGAAGUGUUAGAUUGCCAAUUGAACGUUUUCUAUGUCUUUGUGCCAAGGCUGAUGUUUAAGUAAUUUUGUUAACUUACAUACAUGUUAUGGAGAUACUGACUUGAUGUAGAAAAAGGAAAUGUCAUCUUCAGAUUGAACAAGAUGGGAAAAAAAAUCCUACUGUAGAUGACCCGAUUAGCUUGGGACUAGGGUUUAAGUCAGUUCACAUGUGUGCAUUUGGAGAGGUAAAAGGUAUAGUAGAGUGGGACUGGACCACCUACUCAGAGGGUUAAGUCAACUUACAGAUCUUGUGUCAACUUUGGCUCCAGAGAACCUCAAUGAUUAGACAUCCAUUAUAAACUUACAUAAUGAUUUAGGAAUGUAGUUCUAAAUCGUAUGACUGCUUUGAGGACUGCAGGUGGAGAUCCUGCUGAUGUAUUUUGCUGAGUUUGCUUAUAUCUUUUUGGCAAUUAUUUGCUUCAUUAUUUCUGUAUUCUUCUUUCUUUUGCUUUCAUCUGAUUGGAUGUAAAGGAUUCUCAAACCUCAUCUUCUGCAUUCUUUCUUGCUACCAUCUUCAAGCUGGUUGAUGAACUUUUAGUUGAUCAUUAAUUGAAGAUGCUAUCUAGAUUUGAUGCCACCCUUUUCUCUUUUUCCUUUACUCCACUUCCUAGAUUUUCAUGUCCUAAUUGUUAUGUAGGAGAGGUUGAGAGAAAGCACAUGAGUAUUUUCCCACAACUAGGAGAAAUUGAAGCGCAUGGGUUAAUGGUAUUUUUUGAAUUGAUCCUUUUGUUUUUUCCCUCCCUUUUUGUUCUGAUUCUAUCGUGGGGUUCCUUUACAGAGUUUCUGUUCACGCUACCUUUUCUUAACAGGUGAAGCGAAAAAGUUGCUUCUACCACCUCACAGGGUCUCUGCCUGUAAAGUAUGCUUUCCAGGGUCUCAAAGGAACAUGGUUUCUUCAUGUGGAAGUGCAACGUUCAAAUGAUAUGGAUAAGCCUGGUCUUUCCCACUGUCUAGCUGCAAAAAAUGACAAUCAUGAUUCUGAUGGUAGCAACAUCAAUGAUUCUUUUGUUACUAACACUGAUAAGAACAAUAUAAACAACGGUAGUAAAAAGAGGAUCAAACUCAGCAUUAAACCUCUUGCAGAAGAACUUUGGAAAACUGCCCCCCAUUUCAAUAAAAAGGGGAAGAAAAAGAAAAGCAUGAUUCACCUAGAUCACAGACUGGAUGACAUUGAGAAGGAAUGCCCUAUUAUAAUUAAAGAAACCCCAGAUUCUACUGAUAAUGAAAGUGUUCAAAUGUCAAGAAAUAAGGUUAAGCCUGUCAUUCGUUCUUCCAGCCCUAUGGUCCACACCCCCGUAGAAAGGUCACCAGAAGUACUAUCUGAAAGAGAUAUCCUUGACAUCCAAGGAAACUCUUCAGAGAUGAAUUUUGUGAGUAGAUGUUAUGAUCCUCAAAACUGUGAAGUUGCUUCCUUUGCCACUGAGAGUGGACUAGAGAAACAGCUGAAGGGCAGAAGGAAUGAUAACUCAAAUAUUCAAGCUUAUUCUGCUCCACAGUUUGCCACUAAAACACCUCCAAGGACGCCGCCUUCUCUAUUGCCCACUGAUCCUGGCCCUGGAAGCUCAAGGAAUAAGCUUGAAAUAACCGCUGCCGUUGGGAGACGUAUUCUGAUUGCUGCAAAAAAGCUGAGAGUCUCUGGGAACAAGCAAAGACCAGUUAUUUAUUUCCAUAGAUUCAGAGGUGCUUCCAGUGUGCCAUUUGUUUCUAGAAUUUCAGUGUUUGAGAUCAGUGACAGUGAUGAAUAACAAAUUCAGGAUACAACCUGGUAGGUAAUUGGUUUGUUCAUGCUUCAAAAUGCUAUGCUUGUGCAUAUGCGAUAUGACUUCCAGUGGUUCAUGCUUAGAAAUUACUGGAUAUGUGGAAGAAAUAGAGCAAUGACUGAUGUAUCUCUCAAGCUUGAUAAUGCAAUGAAUUACUCUGUUCAAAUUCUCUCUCGUAUUUCUUCGUUAUUCAAGCUCUCUUAAUUGUCUUUUCUGUCACUUUCUCAAGAAAGAUCGUGCAAUACAAAUUUGGUUGUAUCAUUUGGCAUCAGAGCUGUUACACAUCCUAGGGAUUUUAAGUUCUCUCCCUUACCUCUCUCGAUCCUCUCUAAUUCUAUCUUCUUCUCUCUAUCUUCCCUUUCCUUCUUGAUCUUCAUCUUCUGCCUUAUCUUCUGUUUCUCUGUCUCUCUUCUGUUGGUCUUUCCUUCACUUUCCCAUCACCAAACUUCUGCCAUCUCACCCAAAAAUUUCCUCAAAUCCUGUUAUGAAUACAGCUCCAAGUAUGGACCAGCCGAAGACUCGGAAAGGUCCAGGGGUGCUAAGGGUCUACACAAACAGCAGGUUCAGGGGAAAAAGGGAACCGGUGGAGUGUGAAAUUCGAGAACCUCCUAAAAGAGAACCUGAGCCGGAAGAGGCACACGAUCAGGCCAGGGAAGGAAUGCAUAGGUUGUAGAGCAGGCAUCAGCUGAAAAAUGGAAAGGGAAUUCUAUAAAAGGGGAAUUGUGAUUGUUUAAUGGCAUUCAUAAAUUAAUCUAGCAAUCUUGCUUGGGCCAAUGGACAUAUUCCCUGGUUAUUUUUUGUUUUUACUUCUGUUUAUUUGUAAUAUUACCGAUAGAGAGAGUAGAGCGAGUCAGAAGUGCCAGUCAUUACUGUAUACAGAUCUUCCAUUAUAUUUUGAAUACAAAAUUAGUCAAUUUCAUAGCCGUUACAAUUUUUUAGUUCUUUAAUUCUUUCCAUAUCUUGA
rnacentral:misc_RNA from 1 species